rnacentral:rRNA from 2 species
CCCCAGUAACGGCGAGUGAAGCGGCAACAGCUCAAAUUUGAAAUCUGGCCUCACGGCCCGAGUUGUAAUUUGCAGAGGAUGCUUUGGGUGAGGCGCCGCCUGAGUUCCCUGGAACGGGACGCCACAGAGGGUGAGAGCCCCGUCUGGCUGGACGCCGAGCCUGUGUAAAGCUCCUUCGACGAGUCGAGUAGUUUGGGAAUGCUGCUCAAAAUGGGAGGUAUAUGUCUUCUAAAGCUAAAUAUUGGCCAGAGACCGAUAGCGCACAAGUAGAGUGAUCGAAAGAUGAAAAGCACUUUGAAAAGAGGGUUAAACAGCACGUGAAAUUGUUGAAAGGGAAGCGCUCAUGACCAGACUUGGGCUUGGCGAAUCAUCCGGCGUUCUCGCCGGUGCACUUCGCCUCGUCCAGGCCAGCAUCAGUUCGCGCCGGGGGACAAAGGUUUCGGGAAUGUGGCUCCUCCGGGAGUGUUAUAGCCCGUUGCGUAAUACCCUGGGGCGGACUGAGGUUCGCGCAUCUGCAAGGAUGCUGGCGUAAUGGUCAUCAGCGACCCGUCUUGAAACACGGACCAAGGAGUCGUCUUCGUAUGCGAGUGUUCGGGUGUCAAACCCCUACGCGUAAUGAAAGUGAACGCAGGUGAGAGCUUCGGCGCAUCAUCGACCGAUCCUGAUGUUCUCGGAUGGAUUUGAGUAAGAGCAUACGGGGCCGGACCCGAAAGAAGGUGAACUAUGCCUGUAUAGGGUGAAGCCAGAGGAAACUCUGGUGGAGGCUCGCAGCGGUUCUGACGUGCAAAUCGAUCGUCAAAUAUGGGCAUGGGGGCGAAAGACUAAUCGAACCUUCUAGUAGCUGGUUUC